CAAAUACUCCCUCCGUCCGAAAAUACUUGUCGGAGGAAUGGAUGUAUCUAGACACAAUUUAGUUCUAAAUACACUCAUUUUCAUUCAUUUCUCCGACAAGUACUUCUGGACGGAGAGAGUAUUUA
rfam:Triticum aestivum genome assembly, contig: Triticum_aestivum_CS42_TGACv1_scaffold_221303_3B